GAAAUGCGAUAAGUAAUGUGAAUUGCAGAAUUCAGUGAAUCAUCGAAUCUUUGAACGCACAUUGCGCCCGCCAGUAUUCUGGCGGGCAUGCCUGUUCGAGCGUCAUUUCAACCAUCAAGCCCCGGGCUUGUGUUGGGGACCUGCGGCUGCCCGCAGGCCCUGAAAACCAGUGGCGGGCUCGCUGUCACACCGAGCGUAGUAGCAAUCACCUCGCUCAGGGCGUGCUGCGGGUUCCGGCCGUUAAACAGCCUUACAAAACCCAAGGUUGACCUCGGAUCAGGUAGGAAGACCCGCUGAACUUAAGC
rnacentral:misc_RNA from 1 species